rnacentral:lncRNA from 1 species
GGGGGGGGGGGGGGGGGGGGGGGGGGGGGGGGGGGGGGGGGGGGGGGGGGGGGGGGGGGGGGGGGCCAGGAUCGGUUCUGUGCCGGGAUCGGUUCUGUCCAGGAUCGGUUCUGUUCCAGGAUCGGUUCUGUCCAGGUUCGGUUCUGUCCCAGGUUCGGUUCUGUCCAGGUUCGGUUCUGUCCAGGAUCGGUUCUGUCCAAGUUCGGUUCUGUCCAGGAUCGGUUCUGUCCAGGUUCGGUUCUGUCCCAGGUUCGGUUCUGUCCAGGUUCGGUUCUGUCCAGGAUCGGUUCUGUCCAAGUUCGGUUCUGUCCAGGAUCGGUUCUGUCCAGGUUCGGUUCUGUCCCAGGUUCGGUUCUGUCCAGGUUCGGUUCUGUCCAGGAUCGGUUCUGUCCAAGUUCGGUUCUGUCCAGGAUCGGUUCUGUCCAGGUUCGGUUCUGUCCCAGGUUCGGUUCUGUCCAGGUUCGGUUCUGUCCAGGAUCGGUUCUGUCCAAGUUCGGUUCUGUCCAGGAUCGGUUCUGUCCAGGAUCGGUUCUGUCCCAGGUUCUGUUCUGUCCAGGAUCGGUUCUGUCCAGGAUCGGUUCUGUGCCGGGAUCGGUUCUGUCCAGGAUCGGUUCUGUCCCAGGUUCGGUUCUGUCCAGGUUGGACAGUGGGGAACCCGCGGGGGUGCCCGGCUCUGUCCUUGUCAUCGGUACCGCCCUCUGGCCCGGGAUCGGUUCUGUCCCAGGUUCGGUUCUGUGCCGGGAUCGGCUCUGUCCCAGGAUCGGUUCUGUCCAGGUUCGGUUCUGUCCCAGGUUCGGUUCUGUCCAGGUUCGGUUCUGUCCAGGAUCGGUUCUGUCCAAGUUCGGUUCUGUCCAGGAUCGGUUCUGUCCAGGAUCGGUUCUGUCCCAGGAUCGGUUCUGUCCAGGUUCUGGUUCUGUCCAGGAUUCCCGGGAAAUUCGGAGGUUUUGGGAAGGGGAGGAAGGCUGGCUCCUGGUGGAAUUCUUGGAAAGCCGAAUCCUGCUGGAAAUCCGACCUUGGGCGGGAAUUCCCUGGGGGCUGGGUCAGUUUUAUUCCCCGAGCAGGACAGGGGGUGCGGGGAUGGAUUCCUUCGGGAAAAGUGGGAUUUCAUCACCUCGGGGUUUUUCCCAGCUUUUGUGGUCCUGUGGUUCUCAGGCUCCUCCUCAAUCCCAAAGGAGAUCCCGGUUCCUGAGCCAGUGGGAGCGAAAAUAAAAAAGUGAUGGAUCCCUCCAAAAGCUCUCCCUGGCAUCCAGGGGUCGGAAUUGGGAUGGGAAUCGGGAUCGGGAUCGGGAUCGGGAUCGGGAUCCAGGGGUCGGGAUCGGGAUCG